rnacentral:rRNA from 1 species
GUAGGUGGCAAGCGUUGUCCGGAAUUACUGGGCGUAAGGCGCGCGCAGGCGGGUCCUUUAAGUCUGAUGUGAAAGCCCACGGGCUCAACCGUGGAGGGUCAUUGGAAACUGGGGGACUUGAGUACAGAAGAGGAAAGCGGAAUUCCACGUGUAGCGGUGAAAUGCGUAGAGAUGUGGAGGAACACCAGUGGCGAAGGCGGCUUUCUGGUCUGUAACUGACGCUGAGGCGCGAAAGCGUGGGGAGCAAACAGGAUUAGAUACCCUGGUAGUCCACGCCGUAAACGAUGAGUGCUAAAUGUUAGGGGGUUUCCGCCCCUUAGUGCUGCAGCUAACGCAUUAAGCACUCCGCCUGGGGAGUACGGCCGCAAGGCUG